rnacentral:rRNA from 1 species
CCUACGGGACGCAGCAGUGGGGGAUAUUGCACAAUGGGGGAAACCCUGAUGCAGCGACGCCGCGUGAGUGAAGAAGUAUUUCGGUACGUAAAGCUCUAUCAGCAGGGAAGAAUAAUGACGGUACCUGACUAAGAAGCCCCGGCUAACUACGUGCCAGCAGCCGCGGUAAUACGUAUGGUGCAAGCGUUAUCCGGAUUUACUGGGUGUAAAGGGAGCGCAGGCGGCGCGUUAAGCCUGGUGUGAAAGCCCGCGGCCCAACCGCGGGACUGCAUUGGGAACUGGCGCGCUGGAGUGCCGGAGGGGUG